CGGGGUGCACCAGGCGCGAAAACUUUACAAUGCGGGAAACCGUGAUAAGGGGACACCGAGUGCCAGCAUCAUAUGCUGGCUGUCCGGGUGUGUAAAAUACACCCGUUAGCAAGGGCCGGGCAAGACCGGUGCCAGCCGCCGCGGUAACACCGGCGGCCCGAGUGGUGAUCGUGAUUAUUGGGUCUAAAGGGUCCGUAGCCGGUUUGGUCAGUCCUCCGGGAAAUCUGACGACUCAACCGUUAGGCUUUCGGGGGAUACUGCCAGGCUUGGAACCGGGAGAGGUAAGAGGUACUACAGGGGUAGGAGUGAAAUCUUGUAAUCCCUGUGAGACCACCUGUGGCGAAGGCGUCUUACCAGAACGGGUUCGACGGUGAGGGACGAAAGCUGGGGGCACGAACCGGAUUAGAUACCCGGGUAGUCCCAGCCGUAAACGAUGCUCGCUAGGUGUCAGGCAUGGCGCGACCGUGUCUGGUGCCGCAGGGAAGCCGUGAAGCGAGCCACCUGGGAAGUACGGCCGCAAGGCUGAAACUUAAAGGAAUUGGCGGGGGAGCACAAGGGCGAAUCGCG
rnacentral:rRNA from 1 species